AAUUAGUUUUAAGUGUAUUUAUUUUGAAAUAAACAGGAAUAUUAUAUCCAUAAUUUCAUAUCCUAUGUUACAUAAAUUAUUAUUAAACAAGAGAAAAAUACUCUUAAAAACUAAUCUGACACUUUCACAUUUUAUUUUAUAUUAAGUCACUAUAGGAAAUAUAUAGAAAAAUGUUACAAUUGUCUCAAGCCAGCGAUAAAGCAAAGUGCACUGUUGCCAAGGGCAGUGGAGCAGCAAAACUGUGAUGGUGCUUCUGCUUCCUGCAAGGGGAGGGAUCAUUGUGAGCAGGCAGUAGAGAACUGGGGAAGCCCCUUCAGCAACUCCCUGUCUUUUCUUCCCAUUCUUUAUCCUUCAUUACUGAAGUAGCAAAAUUAAGUUUUGUGUACACUGACAAGAAGCAGUGAGACCACUCUGGGGACCAUGAUGAUACACUGAAUACCAACUGAUUCCCCAACUGAUCACACAGGGAUCGCAGCUUAUCCAUAUACUAUUGUGUCAAUUCAAGGACCUUUAUCCCAAAUUUCUGAUUUUCCUUGUUGACAGUAGUUUGAGGAGGCCAAGCUGGAAAUUUGCACAUGCAAAGAACUCCUACUGACACCAAGGCAAAUGCUCUGCCUUGCAGGAAGAACUGCGGAGAAAGAGAAGCUCUCCAGGAAUGCUGUCAGCUGUUUGGACUGUACAGAGUUAGUAUGGUUGUUUCUCAAGGACAGAUUUUCAUUAUUAUAUGGGUUACUCCAUCUCAAUGGAUGAAUGAAUUAACUUAUGGACUGAAUUCAAACAUUUGUCAASAUGUCUAG
rnacentral:lncRNA from 1 species